rnacentral:rRNA from 1 species
AUCUGCGGCCACAGAACCGUGAAAGCACCGUAUCCCGUCCGAUCUGCGAAGUUAAGCACGGUAUCGACUAGUUAGUACUGCGGUAUUUUGUUUGUUAUCGAGC